rnacentral:ncRNA from 12 species
CCGUAGCCAGGACGGGCCGCAUUGCGGAUAGACCUGGAUCCGUAGGCCGGUCGAGCGGAUUUACGUUAUCACCGGCAUCC